GCCUAGUUAGCUUAGUUGGUAGUGCAUGUGCCUCGUAAGCGCUAGGCCGCGGGUUCGAUUCCCGCCCGGGGCG
rnacentral:tRNA from 1 species